CUUUUCCUUUGCAGAUAAGGACUUGAAAACUGCCUUUGCAGUCUCUCCUGCGCCGCGCAGAGACAUUUCUGCAGCCUGCGAUUUCUCUUGGUUUAAGCAGUAUUUAUCAAAUGGAAACAUAUGUAUACAGUAGGGAUUUUUCCCUUGACUGCAAAGAUGCAGCUGUCUUGCCAAACUCACCUGGUGGAGUUUGAAGAAGGGUACAAGGCAAGAAAAAAUAAGUUUCCAAAGGUGUUCACUGAAAAACAGGAGCUCAUUGGACAGCAUAAGUCCUUAGGAGCAGUGUUUCUGAUAAACUCAAGAGGAGCUUAGUCUAGGUGCUGUUGAUCAAGGCUGAGGCCUAAUGAGCAUUUCUGAGACCACAGAGCAUCCCAAGGAGGAAAGGAGGGAAUGCACCACCACAAGGAGGAAUUCUUUAUAAUGAUCAUCAAACAUUUUGCACUUCUGACUGGUCCAAAUCACAUUGUGUAUCAUACCACCCACAGAGCCAUGCAGUUUUUGCUAUGAAAUAAAAAAUGGAGAAGAGUGAACUGGUACUUUCAACCACUACUUUCACACACAAAUGGGCCUGAAAACUAAUGUUCUAUAGUGGCUCCAGUUAUUGCAUUCAAGAAAAGACAUACAGGAUUUGACAACCACCCAAACACCUGGAAGCACUUGAAGCAUGUGAUAUUCAGGUGUCCCAUGCUCAGCUCACCAUAGAAUUGCUUUCUAUCACCUGCACUUUCAUUAAAAAUUGUAGUAAUUGCAAAAUAUAAUAUGCAAAUGUAAUAUGUAAUUGUAUUUGUAAUAAGUAAUAUAUAAUAUGAAAUAUGUAACAUGUAAUUAGUAAUUGUAAAAAUUGUAAUAUGUAAUAUGUAAAUGCAAAAUGUAAUAAUUGUAAAAUGUAGUAUUUUCA